rnacentral:rRNA from 1 species
CAGCAGCCACGGUAAUACAGAGGGUGCGAGCGUUAAUCGGAUUUACUGGGCGUAAAGCGUGCGUAGGCGGCUUCUUAAGUCGGAUGUGAAAUCCCUGAGCUUAACUUAGGAAUUGCAUUCGAUACUGGGAAGCUAGAGUAUGGGAGAGGAUGGUAGAAUUUCAGGUGUAGCGGUGAAAUGCGUAGAGAUCUGGAGGAAUACCGGUGGCGAAGGCGGCCCCCUGGACAAAGACUGACGCUCAGGUGCGAAAGCGUGGGGAGCAAACAGGAUUAGAUACCCGAGUAGUCCUGUCUCUUAUACA